UCUCCGUUGGUGAACCAGCGGAGGGAUCAUUACAGGACUCGCAAGACUCCUACAACCCUGUGAACUUAACUAUAAGCACGUUGCUUCGGCGGGUGUCUCGGAGGGGGUUCUCCCUCCCCGAGACGCUAAACCCGCCGGCAGCCUACUAUACUCUGUCCCUUUGCGUUGGCAUCUCGAGUACAAUCAAACAAGUUAAAACUUUCAACAACGGAUCUCUCGGUUCUG
rnacentral:misc_RNA from 1 species